GAUCAUUAUUGAAAUAAACCUGAUGAGUUGCUGCUGGCUCUCUAGGGAGCAUGUGCACACUUGUCAUCUUUAUAUCUCCACCUGUGCACCUUUUGUAGACCUGGAUAUCUCUCUGAGUGCUUAGCACUUCAGGUUUGAGGAUUGACUUUAUUGUUCUAUCUUUAUAUUUCCAGGCCUAUGUUUCUUCAUAUACCCCAUUGUAUGUUAUAGAAUGUAGCAAAUGGGCCUUUGUGCCUAUAAACCUAUACAACUUUCAGCAACGGAUCUCUUGGCUCUCGCAUCGAUGAAGAACGCAGCGAAAUGCGAUAAGUAAUGUGAAUUGCAGAAUUCAGUGAAUCAUCGAAUCUUUGAACGCACCUUGCGCUCCUUGGUAUUCCGAGGAGCAUGCCUGUUUGAGUGUCAUUAAUAUAUCAACCUUCAACUUUUGUUGAAUGUUGGAUGUGGGGGUUUUCUUUUGCUGGUCUCUCUGAGUUCAGCUCCCCUGAAAAUCAUUAGCGGAACAAUUUUGUGGAUUCGUUCAUUGGCGUGAUAAAUUAUCUAUGCUAUUGACGUGAAGCAGUUCAGCUUAUAACAGUCCAUUGACUUGGACAAAUUUUUAUUAAUGUGACCUCAAAUCAGGUAGG
rnacentral:rRNA from 1 species